GUAAGUCAUUGGAUCUUGAGAAGCACAUUCAAUUCAAAAAAUUUUGUUCAAAAACAUGGUGUCACAAAUGGGCUUUUUCACCAUCAUCUUCGUGGUGAUCAUUACAAAUUACGUGUCAGUGAAAGGUGACUGCGAAAUGGACUGUACCGAUUUGCAAGUCCAACAAUAUUACCAUUCAUUGGCUAACAUUCAAUCGUCAGACACAAGCACCCGAGUGAUUAACGCUGAAACUGAUGUAAAAUCAGUCAUCCAAGCAUAUAGAGAUUGCAUUAGGGUCUGCAAAGAACGCCAGCCGGGAAAUGUUUCAAUUUGACUUGGUGUCCAACGGAAAAUGAUGUCUUUUUGGUGAGACCGCAAUUGUUACAACAAUCAAUACGAUACAAACUAAUGCAAAAUCAAAAUUAAUCCUGGAAUUCAUUGAGCGUGUAAAUAAAGACGCCGAGUUGGUAUCGUUUCGUAA